CCUAAUUGCCUUAUUGGGGAGUUAGGCUAUUAACAGCCCAUAGUAGUAAGAGUUAUUUCUUCCUUCCCUGAAAAAUUAACCAAAACUGGCACUGGAAAAAAGGGAUAGGGGUGUCUGGAGAAAAGAGAUACUAAGGUGUUAUUGGUAUCAAGUGUUGAGUUUUAGCUUUUUGAACCGCAGGCUUUGACACCUAGGCAGUGCUGAAGUUGGCAACAUUACUGUAACAUAUGUCAUACUAUAGUCAUGAUACGUGAGACGUCUGCACACCGUGGUACUCCCCCUUCGUUUUGGCUUGGACGCUAAGUAGUUUAUUGACUUGUUCUGCUCCAAACAUUUAUUUUCCUGUCUCGGUCAGUGCUUUGUUUUGACAGUUUUAGGGAUGUUUGGAAAAUCAGUGUAGGAAAAGGACAAAGUCUGUGCACACUAUAAUCUGUAGUUUGCUGGUUUAAGGCUGUGAGCCAUCACAAGGUUCUUUUUGUUCUGGAUAGUGGCAUUUAACAGGUAUUUACAUACUGCUAGGUUGUUUGAAGCCAGUACUUUGUCUUCAGUAGUGACAACUGUCAGGGUCUCUGCAAGGUGCUACUGAGAAAGCAUUACACCCCCUGAAGUUUAGAGAGUGAAGAAUUUCCAGUAUAGAAAAUCUGGAGAGGACUGGUCUACCAAAUUUGGCGCCGAGUUACAACUCUAAGACAGCCAUUUUGCAGCCUACAUUUUCUUCUCUUUCUGCUUGUAUCAAAUUAAUCAGAUAUAAGUUAGAGAAAGCUUCCGACAUCUAAACAGAUGAAGAUCAAUUGAUAAAUCAACCCAGGAUUCACCAUACUUUCAAGGUACUGUGAUAUGCUUACCCAAAUGUUUUCCUUAAGCAUAAAAAAUCACAUACUUUAGAUGUGAGAUGCAUGGAGAACAGGAUAUUUACAGGAUUGCAAAGCAAGUCUGAAGCGUUACCAGAUGCAGUGUGGGGCUUUUUUUAAAAAAUGAAGGUGUGUAAUAUAUGUUUUAGUGGGAAG
rnacentral:lncRNA from 1 species